UAGAACAGGUGCGGUCAGUUCUUUCUUUUUUUCCGGUGUUGACCGUCGGUCAGUGCAACCAUGUAGAAGAAAUAAGUAUUUAAUUGUUGCGCUUGUAUUCAGCUGGGACCGCCUGCUAUAAUUCCUGCUGUCGUUAAGUCUGCUGUUGUUAGUCUACUGCCUGUAGGCUGUUGUUAGUCUACUGCCUGUAGGCUGUUGUUAGUCUACUGCAGUACUGCUGUUGUUAGUCUACUGCCUGUAGGCUGUUGUUAGUCGUCUGCCAUUAGACUGCCAUUAGUCUGCCAUCGCCUCCUUGUCUUGUACCUUUUUUUGUUAUAUUUUAUUAAUUUUAAGCUUAGGUCUAGGGUGGUAAUUGUCGUGAUGUAGUUAGAUAGUUGGUUUGGUUAGUCUGUUAGUGUUUGUAGAUUUAGAGGGUUUUAGUUAGUUGCUGAGUUCAGUUGUAGUGUUAGUGUAGCUCUAUAUGUUAUAUUUUAUUAUUGAUUUAUUUGUGUAUGUAAAUAAAGUUUCUUUUUGUUUUAUUUAUCCUAAAGUAAAAGUUUCGUUAUUGCUUUCUUUUAGUUAGCUAGAUUAGUUUAGCUUAGUUCAAUUGUGCUGUCUGGUUGCUUAGGUGACUCUAGCCCCUUGGUCGCAGACCGAGGUGCACAGAUUGGGCCCACCCAGUAGAGCUACCACCUGCCUACUGUUAUAAAUGAAUUUAAUGUUGAGCAGCAGAAGAGAAUAGGCCUCUCCCACUCGCGCCUGCCUGACCUGCUCACAUUUUUUUUGGUGUCAGAAGUGGGAUUUGAACUUAAGUAAUCAGACACACAUUGUUUUCUUAGGGAUUAGGUUGUUAGUUUUUUUUUGAGGCUUUUGUUAGGAUUGCAUAGGUUGGUAUUAGUUUUAGGUUUGGAUAGCAGUAGGAAUCAGUGUUGGAGAAUUUAUUUUGUUGUUGGUUGUUAGAAUAUAGGAUAUGGAUAGUUUAGUUUGUUGUUUGAGUUUUGUUUUAUGUAGUGGUCUUCGUUAUGGUCAGUAGUGAGUUGGUUUUAAUGUUACUUGGAGAUGUAGUUCUAGGAAGUUGUUGUAGUGCGUUGUGAGGUAGUUAGUAUUGUUGUUAUGGGUUAGGGUUAGAGUUGAAGUGUUAGGUUAGGUUGGCAGAAUGGCAGCAGCGGCAGGAAGGAUGCAGCGGUCCCAGGCUGAAGUUGAGGGGCCUCGGAAUGGCAUGAUCCGAGGACAAGUCUGCAGCUCUCCCAUGCCUUCGGAGAGAUGUCAGCCCAAUGUUAACGGAUGGCGAGAUGGCAGUUGAAGUCUGGACUGAUGGGUCAUCGCCAAACUUUGUUAUUGAAUGUGUUAAGCGAUACUACCAGAACUUAGACAGUUCCAGCACAGGUUUUUUUGCAAGUAGCCAUGUACUGGACUGACAGAGGUGCCCCACUUCCACCUCUGUGUUAUAAACAACUGGGCCAGUUUGUCCAAUUAGGACGACUGUCCGCCCAGUUGCAACGUAUGGUUUAAUGGCCCUCACAUCUUGAGGUCGCCACUGAAGAAAGCCUUCCACGUCAUCUUUCUGUAAACCACAUGGAUUUCGCUCCUCACUUACUGGGUGUCCUGUGUCAGCUGCUGGUCAUCUCUACUGGACAGCGGUGGUGGACCGGCCAGAGAUGUAGAAGUCGUCAAGAGCAGAGCAAACCUGUCGUGUCUUUUUCCCUUUUAUUAAAUGUUUUUUUAUGUUCUUAUCACACUGUUCAUUGUGUGGCUCCUUUUAUACUUUGACUUGUUUUAAUGUAUUUAUGCAUAUUAUUUUUAAUUUGUAUUUAUGCUUUUAUGUAUUUCGAAUAAUGAUUAAUUUUUUUGAGUAUGUUCCAUGGGUGUUUGCAUGUGUUGCAACCCAAUAAGUUUUUUGUAAGUCUUUAUUGGGCUCUCAAAAGCCAAUAUUGUGCUUGAAUGUUGUAGUUGCUGUAGUAAUAUGCUGUAUGUACGAUUUUUCUAGUCGUGUAAUUUUCGAUGUUGCCGUCAAGGUACUCGUUAAUGUUGUUUUGCCUUGGAGGCCAUGACAUAGAUAAAUGGCACAUUGCAGCACUCGGUAGUUGCCUUUGUAAGGCAUAUAAUGGUUUUUGUUAUUGCCUUUGGAAGGCCAUGUAAUGUUUUUUUGUGAGUAGUUUCGACUUUUUUUGCUUUGUGAGGUAGGAAGUUUUUUUACUUUUUGAAGUACUUAAGGUACUCAUUAAUGUCAUGUUAGGUUGAAUUGGCUGACAGUGGUCCUUUUAUUUUUUUAUUUUCUAUGUCUCAUCACCACUGUUGGAUGCCCUGUGUUUUUUGUUAUAGCACUGUAACUUCAGGUUGUGUUAUGACACUUUGAGUGUACCAUUUUUUAAUGUUUUGGUCUUUGUGACCAUUGUGAGCCUUCAGUGGCUGGCCAUAAGUCUGUGUGACUAUGGGCCUGUUGAAGCCUUGGUGGCUUUGUAUAAGUCUGUGUGACUAUGGGCCAUAAGUCUGUGUGACUAUGGGUCUGUUGAAGCCUUGGUGGCUUUGUAUAAGUCUGUGUGACUUUGUUUUAGCCUGUGUGGCUAAGGAACUGAGUUAAGCCUCAUAGAGUUCCUGUUGGUCUGUGUGACUAAGUUUAUCAUGUUUGGCUAGGGCGUCAUUUGCUCUAACCAUGUAGUUUUCGUUAAUUACUUUUUUUUGUCGUUCCAUUUUUUUAAAGAUGUCAUGCACUAUAUUUUGUAUUACCUGUAUUUUUAUUGUUUUCUGUUGAAAGCUUUGCCACUUGUGAAGUCAUUUAGUACUGAGAGCUAUGGUUAUAGUUCUCCGUUCUCUUGUAUGAAUUCAUUUUUAUUUUAUUUCUGCUGUAUAUAUUUUGACUUUUUAUCUCUGUAUUUUGUGUAUUUUUAUUUUGCGGGGACGCAAAAGUUUUGAGCGGGGGUGAAUGUGAGCUGGCGAUCCUAGAUUUAAUUUUUAUCUAUUUUUAUCUGUAUUUUAAGUUUAACUAUCUAGGCUAGUGCUGAGUGCGUGCAUGGUUCCCGCCAGCUCUUUUACUUUAGAAGUUAGUUUGUACGAGUCAUGACAUGGCUCUAUAAAUAGAACAGGUGCGGUCAGUUCUUUCUUUUUUUCCGGUGUUGACCGUCGGUCAGUGCAACCAUGUAGAAGAAAUAAGUAUUUAAUUGUUGCGCUUGUAUUCAGCUGGGACCGCCUGCUAUAAUUCCUGCUGUCGUUAAGUCUGCUGUUGUUAGUCUACUGCCUGUAGGCUGUUGUUAGUCUACUGCCUGUAGGCUGUUGUUAGUCUACUGCAGUACUGCUGUUGUUAGUCUACUGCCUGUAGGCUGUUGUUAGUCGUCUGCCAUUAGACUGCCAUUAGUCUGCCAUCGCCUCCUUGUCUUGUACCUUUUUUUGUUAUAUUUUAUUAAUUUUAAGCUUAGGUCUAGGGUGGUAAUUGUCGUGAUGUAGUUAGAUAGUUGGUUUGGUUAGUCUGUUAGUGUUUGUAGAUUUAGAGGGUUUUAGUUAGUUGCUGAGUUCAGUUGUAGUGUUAGUGUAGCUCUAUAUGUUAUAUUUUAUUAUUGAUUUAUUUGUGUAUGUAAAUAAAGUUUCUUUUUGUUUUAUUUAUCCUAAAGUAAAA